rnacentral:rRNA from 1 species
AUUGAACGCUGGCGGAAUGCUUUACACAUGCAAGUCGAACGGCAGCACGGACUUCGGCCUGGUGGCGAGUGGCGAACGGGUGAGUAAUGUAUCGGAACGUGCCCAGUCGUGGGGGAUAACGUAGUGAAAAUUACGCUAAUACCGCAUACGAUCUAUGGAUGAAAGCGGGGGAUCGCAAGACCUCGCGCGAUUGGAGCGGCCGAUAUCAGAUUAGGUAGUUGGUGGGGUAAAGGCCCUCCAAGCCAACGAUCUGUAGCUGGUCUGAGAGGACGACCAGCCACACUGGAACUGAGACACGGUCCAGACUCCUACGGGAGGCAGCAGUGGGGAAUUUUGGACAAUGGGCGAAAGCCUGAUCCAGCCAUUCCGCGUGCAGGAUGAAGGCCCUCGGGUUGUAAACUGCUUUUGUACAGAACGAAAAGGUUUCUACUAAUACUAGGAGCUCAUGACGGUACUGUAAGAAUAAGCACCGGCUAACUACGUGCCAGCCGCCGCGGUAU